rnacentral:rRNA from 1 species
UUAGGAGUGAACGCUGGCGGCGUGCCUAACACAUGCAAGUCGAGCGAUUCUCUUCGGAGAAGAGCGGCGGACGGGUGAGUAACGCGUGGGUAACCUGCCUCAUACACAUGGAUAACAUACCGAAAGGUAUGCUAAUACAGGAUAACAUAAGAGAUUCACAUGGAUUUCUUAUCAAAGCUCCGGCGGUAUGAGAUGGACCCGCGUCUGAUUAGCUAGUUGGUAAGGUAACGGCUUACCAAGGCGACGAUCAGUAGCCGACCUGAGAGGGUGAUCGGCCACAUUGGAACUGAGACACGGUCCAAACUCCUACGGGAGGCAGCAGUGGGGAAUAUUGCACAAUGGGCGAAAGCCUGAUGCAAGCAACGCCGCGUGAGUGAUGAAGGCCUUCGGGUCGUAAAACUCUGUCCUCAAGGAAGAUAAUGACGGUACUUGAGGAGGAAGCCCCGGCUAACUACGUGCCAGCAGCUGC